GUGAGGAAUAUUGGUCAAUGGGCGAGAGCCUGAACCAGCCAAGUCGCGUGAAGGAAGAAGGAUCUAUGGUUCGUAAACUUCUUUUGCAGGGGAAUAAAGUGCAGGACGUGUCCUGUUUUGUAUGUACCCUGAGAAUAAGGAUCGGCUAACUCCGUGCCAGCAGCCGCGGUAAUACGGAGGAUCCGAGCGUUAUCCGGAUUUAUUGGGUUUAAAGGGUGCGUAGGUGGUUUGAUAAGUCAGCGGUGAAAGUUUGCAGCUUAACUGUAAAAUUGCAGUUGAAACUGUCGAUCUUGAGUGCAAAUGAGGUAAGCGGAAUGUGUUGUGUAGCGGUGAAAUGCUUAGAUAUAACACAGAACACCGAUUGCGAAGGCAGCUUACUGGGAUGCAACUGACGCUCAUGCACGAAAGCGUGGGGAUCAAACAGGAUUAGAUACCCUGGUAGUCC
rnacentral:rRNA from 1 species